CCAACGGCCCUCUUUAGGGCCACAAUUUUGUAAUAAACCCAGGGGU
rfam:Toxocara canis scaffold131, whole genome shotgun sequence.